rnacentral:piRNA from 1 species
UGGAUAAAAACCUCUCUUUUCUGUCCGAA